rnacentral:rRNA from 1 species
AGAGUUUGAUCCUGGCUCAGGACGAACGCUGGCGGCGUGCCUAACACAUGCAAGUCGAACGAAGCUUGACGAACGAUUCUUCGGAUGAAUUCUGAUAUGACUGAGUGGCGGACGGGUGAGUAACGCGUGAGCAACCUGCCCUUCAGAGGGGGAUAGUGUCUGGAAACGGACAGUAAUACCGCAUAACGUACAUUGAUGGCAUCUUCGAUGUACCAAAGCUUUUGCGCUGAAGGAUGGGCUCGCGUCUGAUUAGAUAGUUGGUGGGGUAAUGGCCUACCAAGUCGACGAUCAGUAGCCGGACUGAGAGGUUGAACGGCCACAUUGGGACUGAGACACGGCCCAG